GAUGAACGCUAGCUACAGGCUUAACACAUGCAAGUAGAGGGGAAACGACAUCGAAAGCUUGCUUUUGAUGGGCGUCGACCGGCGCACGGGUGAGUAACGCGUAUCCAACCUGCCCAUCACUUGGGAAUAACCUUGCGAAAGUAAGACUAAUACCCAAUGACAUCCCACGAAGACAUCUGAAUGGGAUUAAAGAUUUAUCGGUGAUGGAUGGGGAUGCGUCUGAUUAGCUUGUUGGCGGGGUAACGGCCCACCAAGGCAACGAUCAGUAGGGGUUCUGAGAGGAAGGUCCCCCACAUUGGAACUGAGACACGGUCCAAACUCCUACGGGAGGCAGCAGUGAGGAAUAUUGGUCAAUGGGCGAGAGCCUGAACCAGCCAAGUAGCGUGCAGGAUGACGGCCCUAUGGGUUGUAAACUGCUUUUAUAAGGGAAUAAAGUGGGUCUCGUGAGACUUUUUGCAUGUACCUUAUGAAUAAGGACCGGCUAAUUCCGUG
rnacentral:rRNA from 1 species